rnacentral:rRNA from 1 species
ACUGCGAAUACCGGAGAAUGUUAUCACGGGAGACACACGGCGGGUGCUAACGUCCGUCGUGAAGAGGGAAACAACCCAGACCGCCAGCUAAGGUCCCAAAGUCAUGGUUAAGUGGGAAACGAUGUGGGAAGGCCCAGACAGCCAGGAUGUUGGCUUAGAAGCAGCCAUCAUUUAAAGAAAGCGUAAUAGCUCACUGGUCGAGUCGGCCUGCGCGGAAGAUGUAACGGGGCUAAACCAUGCACCGAAGCUGCGGCAGCGACGCUUAUGCGUUGUUGGGUAGGGGAGCGUUCUGUAAGCCUGCGAAGGUGUACUGUGAGGUAUGCUGGAGGUAUCAGAAGUGCGAAUGCUGACAUAAGUAACGAUAAAGCGGGUGAAAAGCCCGCUCGCCGGAAGACCAAGGGUUCCUGUCCAACGUUAAUCGGGGCAGGGUGAGUCGACCCCUAAGGCGAGGCCGAAAGGCGUAGUCGAUGGGAAACAGGUUAAUAUUCCUGUACUUGGUGUUACUGCGAAGGGGGGACGGAGAAGGCUAUGUUGGCCGGGCGACGGUUGUCCCGGUUUAAGCGUGUAGGCUGGUUUUCCAGGCAAAUCCGGAAAAUCAAGGCUGAGGCGUGAUGA